UCAGAGUUACCUAUGGUGACAGAAUAAUACAAGGCAUGUUAUUUAAGUAAGUACUGUUUUUAAAUUUCUCCGUUUCAGUGCUGCGAUUGGCAUUUUGGACAUUUGUGCUGUGUAUGUGGAUGUAUUGGCAAGCCUGCGCUGGAAAUUCGGCACAAAUCGGCUGUGUUUACAUCCGGUUUAGAGCAUUCAAAACGGUGCCGCCAAUUGAGACUGCCGUCGCCUGUGAAGUUUGCGCUGUACCGGAUAUCAUGACAGAAGAAUGCAGAAGGGUUGCUCAGCUAUUAACUUCGCCUUAUAAUCUUUAUUUAUUUCAAUUGUGUUGUAAGAAGUAUUUUUUAAACAGUAAAACUUUCUCCAAUUUAUAGACUACCUAUUAUGAUUCA